UACGAAGGGGGCUAGCGUUGUUCGGAAUUACUGGGCGUAAAGGGCGCGUAGGCGGUGUGUCAAGUCAGGCGUGAAAGCCCCGGGCUCAACCUGGGAACCGCGCUUGAGACUGGCACGCUCGAGUUCGGGAGAGGAUGGUGGAAUUCCCAGUGUAGAGGUGAAAUUCGUAGAUAUUGGGAAGAACACCGAUGGCGAAGGCAGCCAUCUGGACCGACACUGACGCUGAGGCGCGAAAGCGUGGGGAGCAGACAGG
rnacentral:rRNA from 1 species